rnacentral:tRNA from 1 species
GGGGGUAGGUGGAGGCUUGGUGCCUUCCUCGGACUUCAAAUCCGAUGGUCGGCGUGUGACGUCGACGGUGGGUUCGAUUCCCACAUACUCCCGCCA